rnacentral:tRNA from 1 species
GGCUCGGUAGCACUUGUCUAGCGAAUAAGGGUCGCGAGUUCAAAUCUCACCUGAGCUG